rnacentral:rRNA from 1 species
CGGUAGUCGUACCGGUACCCGUAGAUUUUAACCUGUACCCGUAGAGUUUGACCUUGCCCUUCGGAGUUAGCGGCGGACGGGUGAGUUUCACGUGGGUAACCUGCCCAUAAGACUGGGAUACCUCCGGGAAACCGGGGCUAAUACCGGAUAACAUUUUGAACCGCAUGGUUCGAAAUUGAAAGGCGGCUUCCGCUGUCACUUAUGGAUGGACCCGCGUCGCAUUAGCUAGUUGGUGAGGUAACGGCUCACCAAGGCAACGAUGCGUACCGACCUGAGAGGGUGAUCGGCCACACUGGGACUGAAACACGGCCCAACUCCUACGGGAGGCAGCAUAGGGAAUCUUCCGCAAUGGACAAAUUCUGACGGAGGAACGCCCCUGAAUGAUGAAGGCUUUCGGGUCAAAAACUCUGUUGUUAGGAAAAAACAAGUGCUAUUGAAUAACCUGGCACCUUGACGGUACCUACCAGAAGCCGGUUAAUACGUGCCCC